rnacentral:tRNA from 1 species
AAAAGUUUAGUUAAAUGAUAACGCUAGUAUGUCAAACUAGAUUUAGCACACAGCUAAUUUUUU